ACAAAAUGGACUAUCUCUUCAAAAGCAAAGGAAAAAAACCCAGCACUUCUGGAAAAACAAUUAAACAUCCUACUAGAGCAAUUUAUCUACAAUGACUGCCCCCAGCGCAGUGAUUGAGCUCCUUGAUCCCCAUGAGUUUCUUUCAUGGAACUCAAUGAUACCUUCUUGGAAGCAGGCCAGCUGACUGGUGCUGAGUGAUGACCACAGUCUGAGGAAGACUUGAGGAAGGGCUCUCAGUACCCAGAAAUGGGGAGUACAAAGUAUGGGGCCAGUGUGAGGCUUGUGCCCCAGGCUGACCAGAGUCCAACCUGGAACACUACUGGCUGGUGCUGACCUCCCUUCUACUCUUGAAGACUGGACACUCAAGAGCAGCUCUCAGGGGUCUCUUGGGUAGUAUUUCUCAAGCACAGUUUCAUGUCCCUGACAACCCAUUCAGACAGAGGUAGCAGAUGUAGUGGAAAGGGCAUAACAGUUGUCACCGCACAGUCUUGAGUGCAAAUCCUGGAGCUUGAAUGGCAAGGCAUAUGUGAAAGACCCAGAACUCUCCUG
rnacentral:lncRNA from 1 species